rnacentral:rRNA from 1 species
GACGAACGCUGGCGGCGUGCCUAAUACAUGCAAGUUGAGCGCUGAAGGUUGGUACUUGUACCAACUGGAUGAGCAGCGAACGGGUGAGUAACGCGUGGGGAAUCUGCCUUUGAGCGGGGGACAACAUUUGGAAACGAAUGCUAGCACCGCAUAAAAACUUUAAACACAAGUUUUAAGUUUGAAAGAUGCAAUUGCAUCACUCAAAGAUGAUCCCGCGUUGUAUUAGCUAGUUGGUGAGGUAAAGGCUCACCAAGGCGAUGAUACAUAGCCGACCUGAGAGGGUGAUCGGCCACAUUGGGACUGAGACACGGCCCAAACUCCUACGGGAGGCAGCAGUAGGGAAUCUUCGGCAAUGGACGAAAGUCUGACCGAGCAACGCCGCGUGAGUGAAGAAGGUUUUCGGAUCGUAAAACUCUGUUGGUAGAGAAGAACGUUGGUGAGAGUGGAAAGCUCAUCAAGUGACGGUAACUACCCAGAAAGGGACGGCUAACUACGUG